CGAUUUCUCUUUCCAGUCCAGCCCUGACAAGGAGCACAUGGAUAUUGUUGAAGUUAAACAAGUACAAGCUUGCCCAGAGUUUUCUUAAGCCGUUUGGAGUGUGAUGCAGCACAUGUUUCCUUGGCAAUGAAGUGGAGCCUGAUGUUUGUGCAGCUUUCUGCAAUGCACUUUGAGUAUGAAGAUGUGAUUGUUGUAUGGUUCUAGGUUGAACACAUUUGCCUCAAGUUCCUUGAAUGCAGAACCACCAUGGAGAUCCAGAACCUUUGUGGGGACAGAGAUGGGCCUUGUGAGUGUGUGCUGUUGAAGAAAUCUCUCAGCUGUCUUGCAGACUUUCAGGACGCUGUCUGACGGUCUUAUAAAUCCACCUCAGGACUUCAUGUCGAUCAGUGUGUUCAUCUUGGGAAGAGCUCUCGACACUGAGUGCUGAUAAACAGGCUGAACGUCACUGCCUGAAAUGCCAGCAUAUCAGAAGAUGUUGCCUCCAGUGUCACUGUGCUAUCCGGUGGAGAACUG